UGCAGAAUCCCGCGAACCAUCGAGUCUUUGAACGCAAGUUGCGCCCGAGGCCACUCGGCCGAGGGCACGCCUGCCUGGGCGUCACGCCAAAACACGCUCCCAACCCCCCUCAUCGGGAAUCGGGAUGCGGCAUCUGGUCCCUCGUCUCGCAAGGGGCGGUGGACCGAAGAUCGGGCUGCCGGCGUACCGCGCCGGACACAGCGCAUGGUGGGCGUCCUCGCUUUAUCAACGCAGUGCAUCCGACGCGCAGCCGGCAUGAUGGCCUCUGAACGACCCAGCAAACGAAGCGCACGUCGCUUCGACCGCGACCCCAGGUCAGGCGGGACUACCCGCUGAGUUUAAGCAUAUAAAUAAGCGGAGGAGAAGAAACUUACAAGGAUUCCCCUAGUAACGGCGAGCGAACCGGGAGCAGCCCAGCUUGAGAAUCGGGCGGCUGUGCCGUCCGA
rnacentral:rRNA from 1 species